AUUGAACGCUGGCGGCAUGCUUUACACAUGCAAGUCGAACGGUAACAGGUUAAGCUGACGAGUGGCGAACGGGUGAGUAAUGCAUCGGAACGUGCCCGAUCGUGGGGGAUAACGCAGCGAAAGCUGCGCUAAUACCGCAUACGAUCUGAGGAUGAAAGCGGGGGACCGUAAGGCCUCGCGCGAUCGGAGCGGCCGAUGUCAGAUUAGGUAGUUGGUGGGGUAAAGGCCCACCAAGCCGGCGAUUUGUAGCUGGUCUGAGAGGGCGACCAGCCACACUGGGACUGAGACACGGCCCAGACUCCUACGGGAGGCAGCAGUGGGGAAUUUUGGACAAUGGGCGAAAGCCUGAUCCAGCAAUGCCGCGUGCAGGAAGAAGGCCUUCGGGUUGUAAACUGCUUUUGUACGGAGCGAAAAGGUCCUUUCUAAUACAAGGGGCUCAUGACGGUACCGUAAGAAUAAGCACCGGCUAACUACGUGCCAGCAGCCGCCGUAA
rnacentral:rRNA from 1 species